CUCUAUACACUCUGGAGCUAGGAACCGUUUUUCUUUAUGAGAGCUCCAAUCACACUGAUUUACACUGCUUAUACACUUUUUAACUUCUGUAUUCAUUUUCAAUCAUUUUUAAUUGACAUUUAAAAAGUGUCAUAUCAGAUUAUUGUCCCAGGAAGCUUUCAGUCAGACAAGAAGACACACAAUGGCUCAGUUUUUAUCAACCUACUUCUUAGUUUUGAUAUCAGCGCAACUGGUCAUAUCAUCUGGUGUGUUUGAGUUGAAGGUUCACUCUUUCACAACCACCAGCAGCAGUGUGUGUAAACAGUUCGGAGACUGUCAGGUUUCUUUCCAUGUUUGCCUGAACUACACGCAGGACGUCAUAUCAUAUAGGCUGGCAUGUUCAAAUGGCACUGGACUGGCAGGAACAUUCACAGACCAGAGCUCCAUUUCCACUAGUGCACCAAUAACUUUGCCCUUUAACUUAAAGUGGCUGGGAACUGUCUCAGUGAUAAUUGAAGCAUGGAAUACAGAGUCCUCCAAUGAUCCAUCAACAGAGAAUCUAAACAGUAUGAUUAGCUGCUUCACCACCAAAAGAAAUCUUACUAUUGGUGAGAAAUGGUCCCAGGAUGUGCAUCUUGGAGAGCAAAGUAAACUGCGCUUUUCUUACCGCGUAGUGUGCGAUGAAUUCUACUAUGGCGAUGACUGCUCUUAUUUCUGCCGUCCACGGGAUGACCCGUUCGGCCACUUUAACUGUGACGCCUCUGGAAAUAGAAUUUGCUUGCCUGAAUGGAAAGGCGAAUAUUGUGCAGAACCUAUCUGCUCAUCCGGCUGUAGUGAGGAACACGGUUAUUGUGAGGCCCCCGGUCAGUGCAAGUGCCUGUACGGUUGGCAGGGCCCCCUCUGUAAUGAGUGCAUACCCUACCCAGGGUGCGUACAUGGCACCUGCAAUCAACCCUGGCAGUGCAUGUGUAAGGAGGGAUGGCAUGGCCUAUUGUGUGACAAGGAUCAAAAUGUCUGAAUUUAGAAUUUCAGUAUUUUUCUGGUUACGUGUUUUCAUUCAUAAUAUGAUGCUGUGGAGAAGAAAACUGAAAAAAAAAAAAAAAAAUCCUUUCUUGGAUUAUGAUGUCCUGUUAACAAUAGACUGUGUUUGUGGCAAAAUGUGACAUUUCUUUAUUAAACUGUUUAAUAUUGUGAGCACA